rnacentral:rRNA from 1 species
AGUGAACGCUGGCGGUAGGCCUAACACAUGCAAGUCGAACGGCAGCACAGUAAGAGCUUGCUCUUACGGGUGGCGAGUGGCGGACGGGUGAGGAAUACAUCGGAAUCUACUUUUUCGUGGGGGAUAACGUAGGGAAACUUACGCUAAUACCGCAUACGACCUACGGGCGAAAGCAGGGGAUCUUCGGACCUUGCGCGAUUGAAUGAGCCGAUGUCGGAUUAGCUAGUUGGCGGGGUAAAGGCCCACCAAGGCGACGAUCCGUAGCUGGUCUGAGAGGAUGAUCAGCCACACUGGAACUGAGAAACGGUCCAGACUCCUACGGGAGGCAGCAGUGGGGAAUAUUGGAAAAUGGGCGCAAGCCUGAUCCAGCCAUACCGCGUGGGUGAAGAAGGCCUUCGGGUUGUAAAGCCCUUUUGUUGGGAAAGAAAAGCAGCAGGUUAAUACCCCGCUGUUCUGACGGUACCCAAAGAAUAAGCACCGGCUAACUUCGU